UAUAUUUUAGUGUAUGAUGCACGAUAGAUUUUGAUUCUUUUGGAAACAGUUUAAUUCUGUUAAAUAUAA
rnacentral:tRNA from 1 species